rnacentral:rRNA from 1 species
GACGAACGCUGGCGGCGUGCUUAACACAUGCAAGUCGAACGGAAAGGCCCUGCUUUUGUGGGGUGCUCGAGUGGCGAACGGGUGAGUAACACGUGAGUAACCUGCCCUUGACUUUGGGAUAACUUCAGGAAACUGGGGCUAAUACCGGAUAGGAGCUCCUGCUGCAUGGUGGGGGUUGGAAAGUUUCGGCGGUUGGGGAUGGACUCGCGGCUUAUCAGCUUGUUGGUGGGGUAGUGGCUUACCAAGGCUUUGACGGGUAGCCGGCCUGAGAGGGUGACCGGCCACAUGGGGACUGAGAUACGGCCCAGACCCCUACGGGAGGCAGCAGGGGGGAAUAUGGCACAAUGGGCGGAAGCCUGAUGCAGCAACGCCGCGUGCGGGAUGACGGCCUGCGGGUUGUAAACCGCUUUCGCCUGUGACGAAGCGGGAGUGACGGUAAGGGGUAAAGAAGCACCGGCUAACUACGUG